rnacentral:rRNA from 1 species
UACGAAGGGGGACUAGCGUUGUUCGGAAUUACUGGGCGUAAAGCGCGCGUAGGCGGAUCGCUAAGUCAGGGGUGAAAUCCCAGGGCUCAACCCUGGAACUGCCUUUUGAUACUGACGAUCUGGAGAUCGGGAGAGGUUGGUGGAAUUCCGAGUGUAGAGGUGAAAUUCGUAGAUAUUCGGAGGAACACCAGAAGCGAAGGCGGCCAACUGGCCCGAUACUGACGCUGAGGAGCGAAAGCGUGGGGAGCGAACAGG